UGGGCAUUGAAAAUGGUGCAACUAAUCUUGUGCCGCUCAACAUCAUCAGGAGUAUCAAAGGAAUCUUUCAACACUUGAAGCAUUUCUUCUGGCUGAGCUACUUCAAACUUUCGACUGAACUCGUCGUUCAUGGAUGCCCGCAUAAUGCAACGAACUAUGGUGCGAUCGUUGAGCCACUUCAAAUAAGUAUCUUGAAUCGCUCCUCGAAUGUUAGGAGCAGACUCUUCAGGUACC
rnacentral:lncRNA from 1 species